GCUCUGACGAGGUUGCACUACU
rnacentral:miRNA from 4 species